AAAUGUGAACAAAUACUUAAGUCAUGAGUCAUUUCCUUAUUUAUGCAAUCGAGAAACCUCAUAUGUGUGAAGUGUAUAAAUAUUAGUGUUGUUUAACCUUUUUGAUAGUUAUCAUCGAGCUCAGUUUGGAUUCCAAUUAUGCAGUGCAGUGUGCACAAACAAACGUGGCUCGCAUUGCAAAUUUAAGACUGACAUACAUGGUGCCUAUUUGGGAAGAAAGAAUUGCCAUAUCUUGCUACAGUUUAUGCACACAGUUUCAGACUGUUUGACUGCUGUUGCCAUAACCACUUUAUACAGUUUAUUAUCUUCAAGCAGAGCCAAACAAGUUUUUUUUUUUUUUAAUUUCCCUCAUGACUGCAUGUAAAUGAAAUUUAAGACAUUAUUACAUACCAGUCACUUUAUUGCCUACCAAAAUACACUUAGAUAAUGAUAAACAUGUUACUGCAUUAAUAUACAUCUGAUACGGAAGUUCUGAAGUGUGGCUAAGUGUUUCACCAUGUGUAAUCACCAUAUGUAGUCUUUAACUUGUAAGUGUAUUGACUUAAAUGCAGCUUAUUCCGAGUUUAAUGCAUAGUCCAAUCACAGCCUUGCUGUUAGUGAUAUAAAUGUAUUCCUGAUGGCUGUCAUGAAGUAAUGCAUUAUUUCCACUCAUUGUAAUGAAAUACUAAAGACUCUGAAAUGGCAACAUGAGGAUGAAACUUGCAUUAUGUUCAUAAAACAGUACAGGAUUUACCAUAUCUGAUACUGAGAAAGAAAAAUAGAUGUCUGAAACGGAAGUUUUCAAUCCAAUCUUGCACGUACUGAUACUGCAGGGGAGCUCCAUCUGUAUAUCCAAGUGGAUAAAAAAAUUUGGAAUAUUGGGAAACAUAAUUUCUGUGCAGCAUUUGUCUAACAACUGCACUUAACAUACCCUAAAGCCUUGUUUAGAGUGACCGCACUUCUGAGCACAAGAUAUGUGUGAAUUUGAUAGCUUCGUUAUCAGCACGUGUAUUUUAGCUGCAUCGGUGCUUUCAAAUAAGACUGACCGAGCUGAUGUGAGCCUGGGAACUGAAAAAUUUUGACUCUGAAUAUGUGUGAUGAAGGAUUUGACCAAUUAGAGACUUGAAAGUUAUCAAAAGGUAUUUUACUGAUAUUGUUUUCUGAGCAGUGUGGACUAAGAUUCAUCAUAAGAUUUCAAAUGUGGGAAAAGUGUACCAGCAGUAUAUUUUAUAGGAUGAAAAUCAGCAGUAGUUAUUUGUUAAUAUAUAAAUGUGUUUUGUCAUAAGUAAUGUUUUUAUAAUGCAUAUAAUUAUUAUAUGGACAGUGUGAUUUUGCGUUACAUAUCUUGUUUAAUAAUUUAGAAGUCAAAUGUAAUUUGAAUAAAAAUAUUUAAAGAAUGUGAA